UACGUAGGGUCCAAGCGUUAAUCGGAAUUACUGGGCGUAAAGCGUGCGCAGGCGGUUUUGUAAGUCAGAUGUGAAAUCCCCGGGCUUAACCUGGGAACUGCGUUUGAAACUACAAGGCUAGAGUGUGGCAGAGGGGGGUGGAAUUCCACGUGUAGCAGGUGAAAUGCGUAGAGAUGUGGAGGAACACCGAUGGCGAAGGCAGCCCCCUGGGUUAACACUGACGCCUCAGGCACGAAAGCGUGGGGAGCAAACAGGG
rnacentral:rRNA from 1 species